AAAAAAUGUAGUGCUCUCCACCUACGACUAAAUUCAAUUCCUUUUCCUGUUUUUUCUGAUUAUCGCCAUAACCCAAUCAAUCCACAUAAUGGGAUUAUUCUUUUAUACGCUUCUGUCAUCUCAAUUUCUGCAAAUUCAUACGUGAAAAACUCAAAAUCCCCCAGCAUUUUCACCUGAAAUCGAGAAAGAGUGGAAGGGGCAAACAAUCGCCGCUCGCCAACACUCCGCUUUGUUUAAGAUUUGAUAUAUCAGCUGUAGAUGUCAAAGUUGAGUGAUGAGGUGAUGGAAACCCAUGCCAAAGGAAGGGAAGACAGUGAGUAUGUGAGAUUGGUCAAACCAAGUGAACUAAGGAAACCUGAACCAGAGAUUUUGGAAUCUCAAAGGCAGGAGACAAAUGGAUCUCAAAUGUGGUGGGUGAAGACCAUAAUAUGGUGCUUGAUCACUGUAAUUCUUCUUCUCAUAUUAGCAAAGUGGGGAUUGCCCUUUCUUGUAAAGAAGGUUCUUUUUCCAACCUUGGAAUGGGAAGCCACUGCAUUUGGCCGUCCAAUGCUCGCACUUGUACUUGUAGGUUCGUUGGCACUGUUCCCUGUUUUUUUAAUUCCUUCAGGCCCUUCCAUGUGGCUGGCUGGGAUGAUUUUUGGUUACGGUCUCGGGUUUGUCAUAAUCAUGGUUGGAACAACAAUUGGAAUGGUCCUUCCCUUCUUGGUUGGUUUACUCUUUCGUGACCGAAUUCAUCAAUGGUUGAAGAGAUGGCCUGAAAAAAUUGCUGUGAUUAGAUUGGCAGCAGAAGGAAGUUGGUUCCAUCAGUUUCAAGUAGUAGCUCUUUUUAGAGUAUCACCUUUUCCUUACACAAUCUUCAACUAUGCCAUAGUUGUAACAGAUAUGAAAUUCUGGCCCUAUUUAUGUGGAUCAGUUGCAGGAAUGAUUCCAGAAUCCUUCAUUUAUAUCUACAGUGGUAGGCUAAUAAGGACAUUAGCCAACGUCCAGUAUGGGAACCAUCACCUCACUCCAGUAGAGAUCAUUUACAAUGUAAUCUCAUUCGUUAUUGCAAUAAUCUCAAUGAUUGUUUUCACUGUUUAUGCCAAGAGGAAGUUGAAGGAACUGGAGACUGAAGAAGCCGGUGAUGAAGGCCCAUCCGUUGGCACUAGCAGUUUUGAGUUACAUAAACUUCAUAGUAAAGAACCUGAUAGCUAUACAGUGUCUUUGCCUGUAAGUGGCUGAAGACGGGAGAGGCUUACUCUUACCUAGUAUGUGCCGUAGGAAAAUAAUUUACUUGUAGGCUUGUACUCAAUGAUAUCUGUGAGUGGAUCUGCCACAUCCCGUUUCAGCAAUGUCGAGAAACGGAAAGAUGGAAACUAAUGCCGAUGUCCGAGUGCUUUGUUUCAAGAAAACGACGACAUAGGUUUGAAGGAGGCUGUUCGAUAUCUGAUGCUCUGCUCCACCUAUCAAGAACCGGUUGUUGGGAAAGGCAAAUAGUAAGUUUAUUCAUAAUCAUAUUCACUCCAGAGUUUCUCCAUUCCCUCAAAAGCUCUUGUAUGAAGUCACUGAAAACCGUUUCCUUGGACUUGCUCCCUGUCUGCGUUCAGAAUCAUAAGUUGAUGAAAGACUAUUGGGAAUGGUUGUUGACUUGUAUGGCAUGAAAAAAGUCUGUGUUGGUUUACCUGCAUAUAAAAAGUUAAGUGAUGUAACUGCAGAGAACCUGCACAUUGAAAUUUAGUCAAAUCACACUACGAAUUGAAGGCCAAGUUUGUAAGAGUUUAGUUUAUCACUGGCUAGUGAAAUGACCAGAUAAUGAGCCCUGGAAUGAUGUAAUCACCCCAUGAUGCAAGGAUUGAAUUCA